CGGAGGGUGCAAGCGUUAUCCGGAUUUAUUGGGUUUAAAGGGUCCGUAGGCGGAUCUGUAAGUCAGUGGUGAAAUCUCACAGCUUAACUGUGAAACUGCCAUUGAUACUGCAGGUCUUGAGUAAAUUUGAAGUGGCUGGAAUAAGUAGUGUAGCGGUGAAAUGCAUAGAUAUUACUUAGAACACCAAUUGCGAAGGCAGGUCACUAAGAUUUAACUGACGCUGAUGGACGAAAGCGUGGGGAGCGAACAGGA
rnacentral:rRNA from 1 species